UUUCUUUAUUCGUACUCGGUCAUUUUCGACCCAGUAAUAUAGUUUACUUGGUGCUAGAGAUGUCUUUGCUGUUCAUGGGAGAUUCUCAUAGAGCUCAAUUUCUGGCGUAUAUUUAUAAACUGCAAAGAUAUGAUUUACUUAAUAUUGAUUCUGCAAUUGACGUGAAGUUCUGUGGAAUUAGUGGCGGUUGUUUAACAAACUCGAACGAUGUCCUGUUCUUUCAAGAUUGAUUAGUGAAGCAUCAUCCUGACUAUGGUGUCAUGUUCAUUGGUGGUAACGAUAUUGAUUAACCAGGCUCUACUGCAUUAAAUGCAGAGACCAUAGCAUUACGAAAUGUUUCAAUUGCUAAACUUUUCUUACGUUGCUACAAUCCGAAACAUAUCUUUAUUUGCCAAUUUAUUCUAAGGCAACACACCCGCCACAUCCCAGCGUACAUAUACAAUGAUUUUAUUACUGAGAAAAGCGAACAGGGUGUUUAAACAAGAACUUGGAAUACUUAACGUACUGGAAUUUGAAAGGAAUGAAACAUUCUAAUGCUAACAUUUUACAGAUAGAUGGUGUUCAUUUCAACAACCUGGGAUUUGAAAUUUUUCCACAAUGUGAGAGAAAUGAUUUUGAAGUGCAUUGCAGAUAUGUAAUUCACACAUGUACUGGAAGAUACUGUAUUCUAAUUGGUGGCACAUUUGUAUCUAUAUUAUCAUAUAACAGUAAGUAUAGACAUAGUAAGUAUAUUAGCCGUCAUAUAUGAUAGAACCAAACCCAUAUGGGGUCCAUUUCAGUUAGAUAAACAAGACUUUCUGCAGGCUUAUGAACAUGGCAGAUCUUGUAUAUCACAAAUUUUCUGUCCAUUUGUGGUAAAAGACUAAAUGUAGUUAAAUGGACUAAUAGAAUUAUAAAGUCUAAACACAUUGUCUGUAUGUGUUUAUAUAGUUUAAAUGUAGUUAAAUGGUCUACUAGAAUUAUAAAAUCUAGACACAUUGUCUGUAUUUGUUUAUAUUCUGUUCCACUAUAUAAAUAAUGGUUACAGACAAGUAAUCUGCAGUCAAAUACACCGUAAGUUGUCAAAUGGGCAACAAAAUAUGAUCGUUUUUGACAACUGUCUACCUUUAUGUAAUCAAAUGGGCUGCAUGGAGUCAAAUAGGUUACUAAGUCUAUGUUACUCAGAUAUUUUGUCCGUAUUGAUGUAGUCAAAUGGACUACAGUGUAGUCAGAUGGACUACUUUGUAUAGUCAAAUGAACUAUAUGUAGUCAUAUGGACUACUUUAUUUAGUCGAUGGAUUAUUUUACUGUAUGGCUAAACACAGGAUGACUGCUAAAAUGUUACAAGAAGAGAUUGUUGUAAAUACAGUAUUAUCUCGUGGAAGUUGAUCUUUACAUGCUCUUUUAGUAAGUAUAGAUAUAGUAAGUAUAUUAGCCUGUCAUAUGUGAUAGAACCAUUUCAGUUAGAUAAACAAGACUUUCUGCAGGCUUAUGAACAUGGCAGAUCUUGUAUAUCACAAAUUUUCUGCCCGUUUGUAGUAAAAGACUAAAUGUAAGUAACUGGACUAAUAAAAUUAUAAAGUGUAAACAGAUUUCUGUAUUUGUUUAUACGUUUGUGGCCGAUUAGUUUAAAUGUAGUUAAAUGGUUUACUAGAAUUAUAAAAUCUAGACACAUUGUCUUUAUUUUCUUAUAUUCUGUUCCACUAUAUAAAUAAUGGUUACAGACAAAUAAUCUGUAGUCAAAUACACCGCAAGUUGUCAAAUGGACAACAAAAAAUGAUUGUACUUGACAGCUGUCUACAUUUAUGUAGUCAAAUGGGCUGCAUGGAGUCAAAUGGGCUACUAAGUAUAUGUUACUCAGAUAUUAUGUCCAUAUUGAUGUAGUCAAAUGGACUAUAGUGUAAUCAGAUGGACUACUUUGUAUAGUCAGAUGGACUUCUUCGUAUAGUCAAAUGGACUAUAUGUAGUCAUAUGGACUACUUUAUUUAGUCGAUAGAUUAUUUUUUCUGUAUGGUUAAACACAGGAUGACUGCCAUAUACUUGUAACAUGUUACAAGAAGAGAUUGUUGUAAAUACAGUAUUUCUCGUGGAAGUUGAUCUUUACAUGUUCUCGUAUAUGGUUUUCUAUUUCAUAUGCCACCAAGACAGCAAAGGCUGCUGCAGCUGGGGAAGCAGCUAAACCGAACGAAGAACAAACCAAAUUGAGCAGGUUUUAGAAGCUAACACAUCCAAUUUAUCAGAAAAAGACUUGAACACAAUUAUAUCAAAUGUUGUUCCUGCUGUCACACAAGGUAUGUCGUAGAUUUUAAAAGACUUGAAGGUACUACCGCCUGACUAUUCAGAACCAAAACUUCGGAAAAGAACAGAUACCUUUGGAAUCCACACAAAGCACUUCAACAUCUGCUUCAGCACCAACUUUGCCAGCUUCAGUUAUGAAUCAAAAUUCUGCCACAUUUUGCAUCCACUUUUUCUUGGUAUUGAUGAAAAAAUCAAAGCUAAGAUUGUAUCAGAUCAGUUUGUGGAGUUAGAUUCCAUAUAAAAUAAAGGUGAUUACCAAUAUCAUUUAGUCGAAAAUGGCAGUGGGAAACUCUCGUUCAAAAAAGUUUUAAAUCGUCGACCAGUAUAAAAACGCUGGAUCAAGGGUUUAAUACAUUUCAUAUUUUUACAAGUGUUUAAACAGACAGACACCCAACAUCUGCUGCUACUUUAAUGAAACAUUGCGACACAGUUCGUAAACUUGCAAAGCAAUUGGGGGAUUCCGCUGCCAUUUUUACGAUAGACAAUUUAGUCUCUUAUAAGAAGCAAGAUUGGCUUCGAUUUCAUAUGGGGAAAUCGAUACCCAGUUAUACACGCAGGCACUGGUCAUGGGGUUAAUUAAGCCAAAACAAGAACAGUCUUUUCUUGGCGCAAGAUUCCACCAAAACAACCCGUGCUUUGAUUUUAACAACGGGUCUAGUGCCAGAAAAUCGUGCAUCUUUCAGCACAGAUGUCAAAAGUGCCCCGGUCCUCAUGGACGAAUUGUGUGUUUUUUUUUAAAAGGUGCAAUCAAAUUUCAAGUCAAAGAACUGAUAACGUAACCCUAUGCAUGGUGCCUGCAGUCUUAAAUAAGGCUACUUUUCAUAUUGUUACACCAAUUAAUUCUGAUAACCUACGAUACUGGCUCCAAGGUGCGACUUGAAAUUAACUGAAUAUUUGAUGAAUGGCUUCACAAGGGCUUUAAAAUACCUUUUACAGAUACUCAUUCUAAUAAAUUUCCUGGGAAUUUCAAAUCUGUGACUGAAAAUUUAGAGGGCAUAAAAUCACUGUUGAAAUUGAUGCGGGUCGUGUUCCGGGUCUUUUGAAUGAACCACCUUUCAGUAACUUUAUGACCUCAACUCUGGGUUUAGUACCAAAUCAGGAACCCAGUGAAUUUCGUGGAAUACAUUAUUUAUCAUUUCCAGAAGGUCAGUCUGUUAAGGCUGGAAUCCCAUCAGAAUUGUGUUUUGCUCAAUAUCAAAAUAUUGAUGAUGCAGUAGAACUUGUGAAAACUAUUGGACCUGGUGCGCUUCUGUCAAAAUUUAUGUCCAAAAUGCAUUUAAAAUCAUUCCAAUUCAGUUGUUGACCUUUCAUGUUUUCCUUCGAGUUGGAGAAUUUACUUCUUCCUCUCCCGACUCGUAUAUUAUAGUAGUAGAACAUGUAUAUAUAACAUUCAAUCGAACUAAAUAGCUUUGACUUGGUUCUGAAAAGCUAUAAUUAUAGUCGAGGCAAGACCCAUAAACUGCAUAUAUCAUGUUGUCACUAUGAAUUAGGUAUGUGCCCAUUGCAUGCAUUGUACUCGUAUUAUACAUUAAGUAACGCUCCACCUGGCCCACUAUUUCCGUUUUUGAUAAUCAUCCAGUGACAAGAUAUUUUUUUUGUACCAAGCUUCAAAUGUCACUCACUCGGUUAGGGUAUAGUAAUGACUUUUACAAAGGUCAUAGUUUCCGCAUUGGUGCGGCAUUGCAAAGAGGUUUAUGGGGAGUUUCAAAAAAAAAAACUCGACCUUUUGGCAGGUGGUUUUCAAAUACUUAUAAAAAGUAUAUUCGCAUUCCUAUGGGAGAAAAAUUAGAUGGGGUCCAAGCUCCAAUCAUAUAGGUACAUCAUGGUCACAAAUGUGAUGGGGUCAAGGGUCUCUCACCUUGUGAUUAUCAUGUUAACAAGUAUUAUUCAGUUAUCCUCUUAAGACAAAUAUCAGUAUUGGAUUUUAGAAGUCAUACACCUUUGUUUGGGGUGGAUUAUUUUUAUCAAGUUAAUAUCUAGUUUUCUUAUGUUUGUAAUUCUUAUUGCUAAUGGUGCGAUGGGGUCAUGGGUCUCUCGCACUUAAGUUAUCAUGUUACAUGUACACAAAGUUUAUUAGUAGGCAAUUUUGCAUGUUUUUAUGAGUUACUGAUAUUUUGCUUGUAUGAUGGUGCCAAGGGAUGCUCGCCUCUAUUUUGUCAUGUUAAAUAUACCUGUACCAUUGUCUACAAUUUCUGCAUGUUAGAGGAUGUAACACUUCAACAAGUAUUCUUCAGUUAUCCUCUUAAUACAAAUAUCCGUAUUGGAUUUUAGAAAUCAUACACCUUUGUUUGGGGUGGAUUAUUUUUAUCAAGUUAAUAUCUAGUUUUCUUAUAUUGUAAUUAUGUCUCCCCCAGGAGACAUAUUGUUUUUGCCCUGUCCGUCCGUCCGUAUGUCACACUUCAUUUCCGAGCAAUAACUGGAGAACCAUUUGACCUAGAACCUUCAAACUUCAUAGGGUUGUAGGGCUGCUGGAGUAGACGACCCCUAUUGUUUUUGGGGUCACUCCGUCAAAGGUCAAGGUCACAGGGGCCUGAACAUUGAAAACCAUUUCUGAUCAAUAACUAGAGAACCACUUGACGCAGAAUGUUGAAACUUCAUACGAUGAUUGGUCAUGAAGAGUAGAUGACCCCUAUUGAUUUUGGGGUCACUCCGUCAAUGGUCAAGGUCACAGGGGCCUGAACAUUGAAUAGGGGUGACUAUUGAGGCCAAUUUUGACUAUUGCAAUACUAUUGAUAUUGCUUAAAAACUAUUGCGAUACUAUUCUAUUGCAGGUUACUAUUGCGAUACUAUUGCAAUAGUUAUCGGCCAUCAUAUUUUAUACAGUAAAGCUACCAACUGGCAUUGUUACACGGUGUAAGAGACGGCACUGUUUAUAAUUGCUGAUAACACACAUUGAGAUGUUUGUACAACUGAAACGGACAGAAAUAAUUCUAACAUUAAAUAUUUCUUGCCUUCCUUGGCUUUGGAACAAUAAGUAAAACAAUAAACCUAUGCAAGGUAUACUCAAACGAAUCGGCCAUUUUGUUGCGAAUGUCAACAUGUUUAAUAACCCAAAGCAUCGAAAAAGACGAAAAUUAACGGAUCGGAUUAAGGUGUACCAGCACUAAAUGAAGGGUCCUACCGAACAGUUUGCUGUAUAAUACAAGUAGCCUUCUUUCUCCAUGUCCAUAGUACAUUUUCUCAUCUAAUAUUAACAGGUUACUAGCUAAUGGUUUAAAAAUUCCAGUUAAAGGAAAAAGAACAAGACAUCUUAAUGAGAAGAAUUCUAACAGAACAAUAACAAAUUUAAUAACGGUUUGAAGUUGUUCUUCCAAAUAAAAUUGUCUGACAGCAUUUGACUAUAUUGUAGACUUUGAGGACUAGAUAGAUCGUGGAUACUUCAAAGAAGAAAUUAAGGCUAGGUUAAAAGCUUACAACCUGAAGUCUGCCAGAGUUCUGAUCCGAGCUAUAUCAAAGAGGGUCAAACCAGGCACAUUGCCUAUGAUGCGACAUGAUAUGAGCAAGUCUGUGUUCUUCAUCCAGACACCACAUGGGUGGGCACUGUACUGAAGUGGGACAUCCUUGUCAGGACACAAGAUGUUUCUUCCAGUAAACACUGGCGCUGUGCCAAAAUAUUUCAUGUUUUAAAAACUGGAGACUAUAUGAUAUUUUUUGCUGGCUCUGAACUGUUUUAAAUAUCAGAUGAACAUCAUGUUAAUAGUGCGACUAUGAUACUCUGAAAGAAAAACUGGAAACUUUUUAUGGGGAGCCUAUCUCAGAAUUAGUGGAAUAAAGAAAUUCUGAAAGAAAAAUCACUGCAAAUAUUAUUUAGUGUAAAAUGUUCAAAGAAAGGAAGAUUUAUUAAUCUUUCAAAAGUUACAGUGAAAAAACAUUACAUGCCUUUUUAUACAGUCAUUACAGUGGUUGCUAAAAUGAAGUAAUUUAAAAAAAACAAAAAAACUAUAAGACAACCAUAUAUGAAUUGACUUGAUUUUUCAUACUGCCCCACUUUUUACCUAGGUUACUGAAAUGAGGGGUGUAUUUUGUGUUAAGGUGAUUAAGUUGCACUGGACUGUAGUUCUAUACAGCACAUAGCCUUGCAAGAGAAAAGAGCGAAACUGUUUUAAUUUACUAUAUUAUUAGCAUGUUUAAGACAUUUUCUUUUUCCAACUUGAGUCUUUAUCCUAGUAGACAUUGGUGAUAUUGGACCAAUAUUGGGAAACAACUGUCAGUGUAUGAUAUUGGUUCAUCAUCCAGCUGAUGAUUUAGACAUCAACAUUUAACCCUCAUCUGUUGGGAAUAAUAGAACACUGUCAUGUUGACUGCAAAAGGGAUAUUGGACCGCCAGAUAACGGUCCAAUAUAUGAUGCUUGCUCUGGUUAACAUCGCAGUAAAUGGUCUGUACAAAUAUGGUAAAUUUGUGCAGCUGGAAUUGUUUUAAUUUAUAUUGUUUAUAUGCAAUAUUUUAGUCAUUUAUAUACAUCCCAUGUAUUAAGUGAUGUUUUGGGUUUUGUAUAGAUCUAUACUUUAUGUAUAUUUCAAUUUAAACUGUAACUGUCUUUGCCAAAUUGCCACUGCUAAAUACUUGUAUUAAUCAUAACAUAAAAUGUUUUACAUUGUACUGCAGUUGUCAGAAUUUGUGAAAACUUUAUUUUAAAGAUAAUGUACAGAAAAUUGUUUAAUCUGAGAUACACUAUUUUCCAAUUAAUGUUAAUGACUGAAAAGUU